UCGGCCAUACUAUGCUGAAUAUACCGGUUCUCGUUCGAUCACCGAAGUUAAGCAUCAUCAGACGCUGUUAGUAGUUGGGAUGAUGAACUGGGAACAUCUAGUACCGUU